AUACGGGGGGUGCAAGCGUUAAUCGGAAUUACUGGGCGUAAAGCGCGCGUAGGCGGUUUGCUCAGUCGGAUGUGAAAGCCCAGGGCUCAACCUUGGAACUGCAUACGAUACUGGCAAACUAGAGUGUGAGAGAGGAUAGUGGAAUUUCCGGUGUAGCGGUGAAAUGCGUAGAUAUCGGAAGGAACAUCAGUGGCGAAGGCGACUGUCUGGCUCAACACUGACGCUGAGGUGCGAAAGCGUGGGUAGCAAACAGGAUUAGAUACCCCAGUAGUCC
rnacentral:rRNA from 1 species